UGCGCGCUGGCAUGGUGGCAAUGCGGCCGCCUGCGCCGCGACGCGUAGGCGAUUUCAGGCGCGCCGGCCUAAGUUAUUUUCUCUGGUCCGCAG
rnacentral:tRNA from 1 species